CUUGAAACACGGACCAAGGAGUCUAGCAUGUGCGCGAGUCAUUGGGAAUCACUAAACCUAAAGGCGCAAUGAAAGUAAAGGUCCGCCUUGCGCGGACCGAGGGAAGAUGAGUAGGCCUGGUGUCUUACGGCAUCAGAUACCUGCUCCGCAUUCCCGGGGCGUCUCGUUCUCAUCGCGAGAAGAGGCGCACCAAGAGCGUACACGCUGGGACCCGAAAGAUGGUGAACUAUGCCUGGUCAGGACGAAGUCAGGGGAAACCCUGAUGGAGGUCCGUAGCGAUUCUGACGUGCAAAUCGAUCGUCGGAACUGGGUAUAGGGGCGAAAGACUAAUCGAACCAUCUAGUAGCUGGUUCCCUCCGAAGUUUCCCUCAGGAUAGCUGGCGCUCGUCGCCUACGAGUCUCAUCCGGUAAAGCGAAUGAUUAGAGGCAUUGGGGUCGAAACGGCCUCAACCUAUUCUCAAACUUUAAAUGGGUGAGAUCUCCGGCUUGCUCGAACUAUUGAAGCCGCGAGACACGGAUCAGAGUGCCAAGUGGGCCAUUUUUGGUAAGCAGAACUGGCGCUGUGGGAUGAACCAAACGCCGAGUUAAAGCGCCUAAAUCGACGCUUAUGGGAUACCAUGAAAGGCGUUGGUAACUUAAGACAGCAGGACGGUGGCCAUGGAAGUCGGAAUCCG
rnacentral:rRNA from 1 species